ensembl:lncRNA
UUUAAAUUUCUUUUUUUUUCUUAAAGGCCACACCAUGCAGCAUAUAAGAUCUUAGUUCCCUAACCAGGAAAUGAACCCACGCCUCCUGCAUUGGGAGCACAGAGUCUUAACCACUGGACCAUCAGGGAAGUCCCUUAAAUUUCUUUACCUAAGAUUUUGGUCUGCAACAAAUUGGAAAUUAAGAGGAAAACAGAAACUCUAGUCCCUCACAGAUAAUUUGAAAAUUAGAAGAAAAAUAAUCUGUUUGGUUUACCACUUAGACCCAUCACUUAGCACAUGCUGACACAUAAUAGUUCCUCAAACAAGUUUUACUUGAGUGAAAAGAGUUAUUAAGUGAUUGGGCUCUAGAGUCAGAUGAAUGUGGACUUGAAUUUUAGCCUAGUCCAUACUGACUGUACAACCUUGAACAAAUUACAGUACUUAUAGGUUUGUUGAGGAAACUAAAUGAUUUUCUGUAUGUGCUAGUAAGUACUGUGACUGGCAAAAGCUGGUUAUUGUAAUUAUAUUAUUAUUUCCCUGAAUUCCCGGGACCACUGGUUGGGUUUUUUCACUUGUCAUGGGGCUACAGAACAUAGAAUUUUAAAACAAGCAAAGUUGAUUGGCCACUGGUUCAGAUGAAAACCUUUUUUUUCAUCUUUGUUCAGAUGAAACCUUAAGAAGCUCAAAAUGUGAGAUAAUCCCACAUGAAGGGAACUGGAGCUCCAGAGUUAAACUUGCCCAAAACCAUGGCGGGCAUGGAACCUGGCCCGGUGUUGGGAGCCUGAAGUCAGCCUCUGGACCACCAGGGAAGUCCCUCCCCAGACAAAGGAACAGAUCUGCAAACACAGGACCCGCUGUCACAUCACGGAAGGAGUUAGAUUACUAGGCUGGUCGACGACGGGGGCCUUCAGAACCCCGUAAUUAUGUUAUACAGUUGUUAUUAUUUUC